CGGAGGCCGGAGCCGGAAGCGGAAGCGGAGCGGGGAGCGGGGCCUAGCUGCAGCCCGAGCCUAGAAGACGGACCUGCAAGUGAGAAGCCGGCUGGGCCUGUGCUUGGAGAAAAGCUGGCAUCCUUGGCUUGGUUCCUUGGCAUGGCCGUUUUCUACAUUGUGCAGAGCGGAGCCUCUCAAACGUAAGGGUGGUCUUGAGCUUCAAGCUUCUGUAAACAGCCUGUGUGCUGAGGCUUCGGACGGACUGUCAGAGGCCGUGGGGAAUGCCGCUUGAGGGCGGGGAGUGAUAAAGGGCACCCGGCAUUUCCCGAGUUUCUCUUCCCUGGAGUGUUAAAGGAGAGACGGCCUCACUCCCUGCCUGUCUCUGGCACUUUCUGGCUGUCAUUCUGGCCAGCUCCUCUGCAGGCUAGGAGGUGUUAUCUCCGUUUUCCAGACAUGGUACCCGAGGCCUAGAGUGACUUGUGUAAGGUUACAAGGCCAGGAGAUGCCGCCACUGGGAUUUAGUAGUAUUUUUCUGUCAGAACUCUCGCCUCCCAGGUGCUUGGGAAGAGCUUAUGAAAUGUUGUGAAGGCAUCUCCCCCAGUCCUGAAGUAUCACCUGGGGCUGUUUUGUGUUAAUGGAAAAUUGCACCUUUUGUGGGGCCAGACCUAGGGGAGGCAUUUGGCUUAGAGGAAAAACAUAUUUAAUUCCGACAGAACCUCCUAAAAGAUUCCUAAUCCCCUGCUUCAAGAAGAACUGAAGAUUAGUUUAAUAACUGGCCCAAAGGCAAACAGUGAGAAAUGGCUUUGCCAUGAUUUGGGUUGACAUCUGACCCCAGAACUGUGACUUUCCACUCAUGUAAAGGUAUAUGGACAUGGGACGGGGAUUUUGCUCAGUGGUGCCGCUGCCUGCCUUGCUCCCAAACGCAAGGUCCCCCCGGUACCAAAAAAAAGAUACAUGGACAUGGAGUCUUCUAGGUCCCUGGAGGGAGGCUUUGGCCUGCUGCAGCCUGGCUUGUGUCCUGCAGCCUCAGUGUUUAUCUGCCUGGCACACAUGGACAGGAGCACACUUGCCUGGAGGGGAGGUAUGUGUGCCAGUCAGUGGGCAUCCUUGGGGUCAAUUAGUGAGGUGAGAUACAGUACUGCUUUUCAUCCAUAGCUUGGGCACCUGACCCAGGGUAAUUGCAGGAAAACAGGGAGAUGUUAGUCAUCUGAUCAGCAAAACAACAAAUCCAAGCUCUUGGGAAACUUGCUGAUUUUACACAGCAUUUAUCGCCAAGGAUUGGCAGAGAACAGACUUUGCAGGUGUGUGGGGUUGCUGGUGUGGAGGUUGAGGGCAGUGUCUCUCAGGAUCACAGAGAAGCUCCCAGGGCUUUUGUCAGAGAACUCAGCACUCUAACCACCCUCCAGGAUCCUUUUCUUUCUUUCCUUCUCUUUUUUUAAAAAUCCAGGAGCCUUUUCACCCUGCCCUAUCAUGCCAAUGCGAUGGGGCAGCUUUGGUGGGUUUGGUAUUCGAGUCCAGGGCCGCCCUGGACUAAGGCUGGCUAUGGCCUAUAAAGGCUUGGGGGGAGGGUUGCCCCACAGUGUCUGGCCUAGCCAGUGUGGUGUCUCGGUGAGGGUAGGGUGGGAGCUGGCCUUACAGAGCCACCUUUCUCAGCUGCAACUGAGCCAGCCUGGCAUUUCUGCAGUGGAUAUAAGUUCCAGCUAGACAGGGAUAAUGACCUAGGUACCUUUGUCCUGCUUGUCUGUGCAGAGAGGCCUGCUGGCUAGCUGACCCUCUGGCUACCUGCUCCUGAGAAGGGAAGGAGAGGGUGCUGGAGCAGGGGAGAGGAAGAACAGUAGUGGUCUUGACAGGGAGAGACAAAGUACCGGGUUGUAGCACUACAAGUGGCCUGAGGGUCAUGGGAUCUUCCUGAUGCUGAGACUCUGUAUGGACCAGUAGGAGCUGGGCCAGCUCCCCAAGCCCCUAUCCACCUGGGUAGACUCUCAAGUGAGCUAAGAGUGCUCAUGACCCCUGGGAGCCUUUCUCAAGGGCUGUUCCAUUUCUUUCUUUCUUUUUUUUUUGCGGUACCAGGGCUCGAACUCAGGACUUUGCACUUGCCAGGCACUGGGGCACCACUGAGCUACACCCCUGGCCCAGCUGUUCCAUUUCGGCUGUGACCC
ensembl:lncRNA